rnacentral:rRNA from 1 species
GACGAACGCUGGCGGCGUGCCUAAUACAUGCAAGUAGAACGCACAGUUUAUACCGUAGCUUGCUACACCAUAGACUGUGAGUUGCGAACGGGUGAGUAACGCGUAGGUAACCUGCCUGGUAGCGGGGGAUAACUAUUGGAAACGAUAGCUAAUAUCGCAUAAUAUUGAUUAUUGCAUGAUAAUUGAUUGAAAGAUGCUAUUGCAUCACUACCAGAUGGACCUGCGUUGUAUUAGCUAGUAGGUGAGGUAACGGCUCACCUAGGCGACGAUACAUAGCCGACCUGAGAGGGUGAUCGGCCACACUGGGACUGAGACACGGCCCAGACUCCUACGGGAGGCAGCAGUAGGGAAUCUUCGGCAAUAGACGAAAGUCUGACCGAGCAACGCCGCGUGAGUGAAGAAGGUUUUCGGAUCGUAAAGCUCUGUUGUAAGAGAAGAACGGGUGUGAGAGUGGAAAGUUCACACUGUGACGGUAUCUUACCAGAAAGGGACGGCUAACUAUGUG